UACGAAGGGGGCUAGCGUUGCUCGGAAUCACUGGGCGUAAAGCGCACGUAGGCGGAUUGCUAAGUCAGGGGUGAAAUCCUGGAGCUCAACUCCAGAACUGCCUUUGAUACUGGCGACCUUGAGUCCGGGAGAGGUGAGUGGAACUGCGAGUGUAGAGGUGAAAUUCGUAGAUAUUAGGAAGAACACCAGUGGCGAAGGCGGCUCACUGGCCCGGUACUGACGCUGAGGCGCGAAAGCGUGGGGAGCAAACAGGG
rnacentral:rRNA from 1 species